AGUCACAAAUAUGACAUUCAUUAAAGGGCAAAAUGUCUCUACUGCCCCUGUUUUAAAAUUAAUUAAACAAAUGGAAAAAAGAAAAAAAAAUCAGAACGCCUCUCUCUCUCACACGACGCGACGGCCAUUUUUCUUCUCGGUCUCUUCGACGCGACGGCUACAACGCUCUCCGAUUUCUUUUAUCAUUUCCGGUGAUCAUCUCAUGAAGAUUCGAUUCUCCAAGCUUGCAGGGACGACACUCUCUUCUUCUUCUCUCUCAAUCUGAUGCCGUCGCUGUCACCGGAGGAAACAAGCUUUGUCAUCUAACAAUGAUCCCUUCCGCAGCGGUGGAAGAGAGGAUUCAAAUCCACAGCGAAAUCAACGGCCAUUCGCUUCGUUCGACUCGGAUCGAUCUCACCAGCUGUUAUGAAAAUGAAUCCUAUCCGGUUUCCGUAGUAGAAGAGCUGGAUUCGGUUGUUGCAGUGAGAGAAAGCCGCACGGUUGGGGUUUUCUGACGGAGGAGAGUUGGGAGUAGGUAAAGCUGAAGGAGCUGUUGGUCGCAGAGAACGACAAGACUUGAAGUUGACGGAGAUCUCGAGAUCUCUUGGUUUGAAGACGAUGAGGUGUAAGUAGUCAAAGCUGUGUUUCCUCACUACACAUGGAGUUAAAAGAUUCUCGACUCCAUAUUCAACAUUCUCUAUAAACGGUUGUGAAAUCCUUAGGUGAGAGUUGUGUUUGGUAAAAUCAAGUGAAUUCUAUUUUUUUUACAUGGACUCUGACGAAAUACGUUCCAUUCUACGUUGGAUCUGAGUACAUGAUUGCCAUCAUUUUACUUUUACUUUUUGUUUUUGGAGUUUUCAAUUCAUUUAGGAAGCUACUGUACGUAUUCAGGAUAGUCUUCCUGAUUGUUGCAUACAGUGUCUCUAUCCGAGUCUAAAGCUAUCUCUGAUGUUCUGCUUAUGCCUAUUGAAGUGACGUAACUUGAGAAUAAAAAUUGAGCAUGUGUUUCUGAUCUUGUAAAAAAUUACCUCCUCUACUAUCUGAGGAAAUUCUGUUCCAAGCUGAGACGAGGAUGAGAGCAAGAGGGACCCAGAUGCAGCAGCUCUCUGUUGCGGAUAUUGGAAUUCAACUCUUUAAUCUUGCUAUAUUGGAUAGCUUUUGACAUUUUCAGGAUGGGUUUCCAAAAAAAAAAAAGUGUGUUUUCUUACAUAAGUCUGUUUUCGAAGAAAAUCAAAAGCGUGUAAAAAGUGUUAGACAUUAAAAUGUGAUAGCUUGAAGCAAUUUCAGUAAUUU